UACGGAGGGUGCAAGCGUUGUCCGGAAUCACUGGGCGUAAAGGGCGCGUAGGCGGCUCAUGAAGGCUGUGGUGAAAGUCCGGGGCUCAACCUCGGAUCGGCCGUGGCGACUCGUGGGCUGGAGCACUGUAGAGGCGGGUGGAAUUCCGGGUGUAGCGGUGGAAUGCGUAGAGAUCCGGAAGAACACCAGUGGCGAAGGCGGCCCGCUGGGCAGUGGCGUGACGCUGAGGCGCGACAGCGUGGGGAGCAAACGAGG
rnacentral:rRNA from 1 species